rnacentral:rRNA from 1 species
AUUGAACGCUGGCGGCAGGCCUAACACAUGCAAGUCGAACGAGUGGCGGACGGGUGAGUAAUGUCUGGGAAACUGCCCGGUGGAGGGGGAUAACUACCGGAAACGGUAGCUAAUACCGCAUACCAUCGGAUGUGCCCAGAUGGGAUGAGCUAGUAGGUGGGGUAAAGGCACACCGAGGCGACGAUCCGUAACUGGUCUGAGAGGAUGACCAGCAACACGGGAACUGAGACACGGUCAAGACUCCUACGGGAGGCAGCAGUGGGAAAUAUUGCACAAUGGGCGCAAGCCUGAUGCAGCCAUGCCGCGUGUAUGAAGAAGGCCUUCGGGUUGUAAAGUACUUUAAGCGAGGAGGCGUUACCCGCAGAAGAAGCACCGGCUAACUCCGUGCCAGCAGCCGCGGUAAUAC